NAACNUUCAACAACGGAUCUCUUGGUUCUGGCAUCGAUGAAGAAGCAGCGAAAUGCGAUAAGUAAUGUGAAUUGCAGAAUUCAGUGAAUCAUCGAAUCUUUGAACGCACAUUGCNCGNGGCAGUAAUCUGCCGGCAUGCCUGUCCGAGCGUCAUUU
rnacentral:rRNA from 1 species